rnacentral:rRNA from 1 species
AGAACGAACGCUGGCGGCAUGCCUAACACAUGCAAGUCGAACGAGACCUUUCGGGGUCUAGUGGCGCACGGGUGCGUAACGCGUGGGAAUCUGCCCCUUGGUUCGGAAUAACAGUUAGAAAUGACUGCUAAUACCGGAUGACGACGUAAGUCCAAAGAUUUAUCGCCGAGGGAUGAGCCCGCGUAGGAUUAGCUAGUUGGUGAGGUAACGGCUCACCAAGGCGACGAUCCUUAGCUGGUCUGAGAGGAUGAUCAGCCACACUGGGACUGAGACACGGCCCAGACUCCUACGGGAGGCAGCAGUGGGGAAUAUUGGACAAUGGGCGAAAGCCUGAUCCAGCAAUGCCGCGUGAGUGAUGAAGGCCUUAGGGUUGUAAAGCUCUUUUACCAGGGAUGAUAAUGACAGUACCUGGAGAAUAAGCUCCGGCUAACUCCGCGCCAGCAGCCGC